GCCUUCCGAAGCAGCGCCUCCGUGGACAUAAUUCCGAUCAGGUUCCACUGGUUCAAGGCAUAUGCAAACUAUAAUCCAGAAAUGCACGAGUAUGAGCCAGUAGAACCGCAAAUUUUGUUACGCAGGAGAACUCUCAAGUUGCGGUUCUCGAGGGAGAAGGCGAGUGGCGAUGAAAAGACAAGGAUGGAGAGAUUUGCAUGGUAUAAAAGGGUCAUAGCUGGAUCUCCCAGGGAAGCCAACAAGUUGCGGAACAAGUUGGGCAGAUAUCUCCACACAGCUGUGGGUCUUGACGAAGAUAAGCAUUCUUCUAUUAUUGAAGAAAUUAUGGAAUUGCUUCCAGCAGCCGUGCCCGAUAAAGUUAUGGAGGUUCAAAUUGCGCAUGUUAUAUAUAGAGUAUAGAGAUACGGAGGAGACCUUGCACUUGCACCUGGAUGAUUUUUACUACAGGGAAAAGCUGAUUCCUGCGACUGAAUCCUUCAUCCAGGCUUUGGAGGAAAUGAAUCCACCUGAUGAUGAUGAUGAACUGAAGUGUCCUAUUUGUAUGGAAAUGUUUGCACAGAGAAACGAUAGCAGCAGCAUUACGAGGUUGCCCUGCUCACAUUAUUAUCAUCGAGAUUGCAUUGUCCCGUGGCUCCAGAUCAAUCAUCUCUGUCCCACUUGUCGCCACCCGAAUUGACUGCCACUAUGCUGUGUAUGUUUUCGAGAUUGUCACAGCCAUGCUUAGUGGAGAUUUGUUCUUAUGUUAGCCCUAUUGAUUAUGAUGAUGCAUUGAGAAGAAAAUCGACUACACAAUCGAUUUGAGAUAACUUCUUAUUCAGGCAAAUUUUGCCAAAGUUGUUCAUGUUCGACGCGAGGCCAACAUGGUUGCUCAUUCUCUUGCUAGAGAGGACAAAUUAAUUUCUUAUUCCAAUGAUAUUUUUGAUGUAAGUCCUCCGCCAGUGGAGAUGUUACUUUCUCAGGAUUGUAAUGAUGCUUAAUCAAUGAAGUUAUUCAUUCCCUCG